rnacentral:rRNA from 1 species
UGGGGAAUUUUGGACAAUGGGCGAAAGCCUGAUCCAGCAAUGCCGCGUGUGUGAAGAAGGCCUUCGGGUUGUAAAGCACUUUUGUCCGGAAAGAAAUCCUUGGCUCUAAUACAGUCGGGGGAUGACGGUACCGGAAGAAUAAGCACCGGCUAACUACGUGCCAGCAGCCGCGGUAAUACGUAGGGUGCAAGCGUUAAUCGGAAUUACUGGGCGUAAAGCGUGCGCAGGCGGUUUGCUAAGACCGAUGUGAAAUCCCCGGGCUCAACCUGGGAACUGCAUUGGUGACUGGCAGGCUAAAGUAUGGCAGAGGGGGGUAGAAUUCCACGUGUAGCAGUGAAAUGCGUAGAGAUGUGGAGGAAUACCGAUGGCGAAGGCAGCCCCCUGGGCCAAUACUGACGCUCAUGCACGAAAGCGUGGGGGAGCAAACAGGAUUAGAUACCCUGGUAGUCCACGCCCUAAACGAUGUCAACUAGUUGUUGGGGAUUCAUUUCCUUAGUAACGUAGCUAACGCGUGAAGUUGACCGCCUGGGGAGUACGGUCGCAAGAUUAAAACUCAAAUGAAUUGACGGGGUCAU